UCCUCAUCGAGACAGAUGUACAACAAUUCACCCCCCGGCAAUUCUUCGGUGGACAUCUGCUUUGGACUUCUAUCAGACUCACUGGUACACCUCGGACACUUUACACAAAACUAGCGGCUUCCCUUUAUGCUGCUGGGUUUCUCAAAGACUGACUGAAGCCAUGCCUUGGGACUCUAGGCCUCACCCUUCCCCCAUGCUAGAAAAUGCCUGUCGAGGCAAGUACGCCCCCCAGAGGCAGGAAAUGUUUUGUCUUUUUUUAAGCUGAUAAAGUUUUGCCCACAGAGGCAAAAAAAAUGGCCCCCUCAGGCCUUCCCUUGGCAGCACACUGGUUCUUGUUGCCCACUUACAUGUUUCUCCAUGUUUGUGCCAGUUUCUUUUUUUGAAAAUGCCUGUACGAUAUAGGUUUCUGUUCACCCCACACCCCUGAUACUGUGGUCAUUUAGUUAAAAAGAAAAGGGGGAAUAUGUUGGUAUUCUUUGUGUUGGUUUGACCCCCUUCCCCCUACCUCUGAGAGAAAUGGUUUGGCCCUUGCUAAUUUUGCGUCCCUCUUUCUCCCCACCCCUUAUGCUAAGGAUGUCCAGAGUCCCAGCAGCACCAGCGGAAGGAAAAACAUGGGGAAGCACAUGGUGUGGUGAUUUGCCCGUUCGUGAAUAAAGAUUAAACUGCAGCUU